GUGUGAUUUCUUAGUUGCUAAUUGAAUCCUUCUUCCAUUGAGUUCAUAGUGUGUUGCUCAUUUGUGGAAUCAAUUGAGUCUUCUUUUGAAUUCAAAUAGUUUAGGUUCUAGGGUUGAAUUCCAAUUGGAAGGGAUUGAGUUUCAUAUACCCAAUCUUAUCCAUAGAAUCAUUACUCUAAGGUUCUAGGUCAUUACUUUAAGGGUCUAGCUUCUAUCCUCUAAUUCCCUCAUCCCCAAUUCUAAUAUAUCCUUUCAAUUUUCGCUUUGUUUUAUUUGAUUUCUAGAGUUUCCCAUCUAGGAUCUUAUCAAUGAUUCAGAGAAAAGAGAUGGUGGUUCAUAGAAAGAUGGUAAAAAUAGCAGUUGCAGAGUGGUUAGAUUAUGAAAAGGCAUGCUCCAGAUAUUUCAAUUGUUUUAGUUGGAAUACCACAAAGAUCAUGCAAAUGAUGCUAAAGCAAUUGCCUAUAGAAAGUGUAACACUCAAGAUGAAAGGAGGGUUCAACAUGGUAUAAACACAGUUGCCGAGUUGUUGUAGGCUGUAUGCUUAGGAUAAUUUGUUCUAGCUUCUAGUUUUCCAUCACUCUUUUUCCUAUUUGGUUAAGGUGAUGAUUUACCUGGAGUAGAAUCUUAGUUUCAUAAUUAUACUUCAGCGUUUAAAGUUGUAUUCGAAAUUUAAAGAACACCUAAAAUAAUGUUUUCACUUUUUUUCACUUUCACUAUAUUCAAAUAACAAAAUAUU